rnacentral:rRNA from 1 species
UACGGAGGGUGCAAGCGUUAUCCGGAUUUACUGGGUUUAAAGGGUGUGUAGGCGGGCUAUUAAGUCAGUGGUGAAAUCUCCGGGCUCAACCUGGAAACUGCCAUUGAUACUAUUAGUCUUGAAUUUUGUUGAGGUAGGCGGAAUAAGUCAUGUAGCGGUGAAAUGCAUAGAUAUGACUUAGAACACCAAUUGCGAAGGCAGCUUGCUAAACAAAUAUUGACGCUGAGGCACGAGAGCGUGGGGAUCAAACAGG